UACUAUUAUAGAAUCAAAAUAUUUCAUCCCAUUCAUCUUUUUGGCUAAUUCUUAACUAAAAACAUAUAUUUUUUUUCUUCAUGUGUUUAGCUUCUGAGUGAGGAGGAGUGUCAUCGGAUAUUAAGUCCUUACAAGAAAGUUGUUGAGUGGAUGGAAGGUACAAAGAAGGCAACUGCACCUCAUUUUGAUGAAGUUCAUGAGUUUCUCUUUAAAGCCCAGAAAAGAUUUCGAGAGCAGACAUCAAAAAAAGAAUCUGGGAAAAACGAAUUUAAGUCAAAGCUGUAAAAUCAAACAUAAUCUUCGAAAGUCGUUUGAUUUCUGUAUAAUGUUGCUAUAUGAAGUGUAUUAAGUUGAAAUAAACCAUUACAGAGAUUAUGUAAUGUAAUCAUCGUUACAUUUUAAUUACCUGGAUUUCAUAUAAAGUAUAUGGAUCAAUGGUAUUAUUGUACAAGUAAGUAGUCAACGCAUUAAAUACUAAUUUAAACUCAUGCUGACGAUUGCGUUGUUAAUCAUAAAGAGGUGAAAUAUUGUUUAUUUGAGUUGAAAUUUUUUACAACUCCCAAGAUUAACAUGGUGCUGAAGGUCUUUGCUGAUCGGAUUUCCCAACCAUCUCGUGCAAUUCUCAUCUUCUGCAAGUAUAUUUAUUAUCUUCUUCCUCGUUUCGUUAGUUUAGUAAAUUACUUACAAAUUCCUUCUCUUUGAUCGGAUUGUAAAUAAAUACCAACCGCUUUGGUCAUUGACUUGUGAUCGACUGCAAGUAUUGAUCUUUAAUAGGGUUCGCUGGCUGUUGAAUUGAAUUUGUCCUUCCAAUUCUAUACUCGAGGGUUUCUUUCAUCAGCAAGGAUUCUAUUAAUCUGUACAAAUUGAGUUGCUUUUCUAUUAGUAUUACUGUUAAAGCGAUCUUUAUGUUCUACUUUGUCUUUUACUUUGGGUUUAUUGUUAAAUUGAUACUUAAUAAUCCUAUAUUAGCGUUGUGUUAUGUGUUUCUUUUUAUGCACAACUUAUAUUCUCUCUGAUUAUGCUUCUCUAAAUUCAUCAUUCUUGUGGCUUUUAUCGAUGUUAUCUGAAGAAAAAAUGGGAUAGAUUUUGAGGAAAUCCGAGUAGAUGUCUUCAAAAACCAGCAAUUCACCCCUGAAUACAAAGGUCUGUUUGAUACCAUCUGCACUGAUUUUGUAUCAAAUCCUCUGCAUAUUUAGUCAACAUCUACCAAUGGCAAAGUAUAAGGUUACGUAUUGAUAUUAUUACUAAAAGAAUGUAAAUACAUUGCUCUUUUAUGCAGCAAUAAAUCCUAUGUCUCAAGUUCCAGCAAUAGUUAAUGGACGUUUCAAGCUGUUUGAAAGGUUGUUUCUGUUUAUGAAUUAAAAGUCCUUAUUCUAUUUGGACUCAUUUAUUUUAUGCUGUAAAUAAACUCGUUUGUUUCACUUUAACAAUGUGAAAUGUUGUGAUUUUCAGUCAUGCAAUUCUUAUCUACUUAUCUUGUGCAUUUCCAGGAGUUGCUAGUCAUUGGUAAAUCAGUUUUUUUCUCCUUCUGUAUCUUGAUACAAAUUCUAAACUUUAUUUUAAAUGAUUAUUAACUUAUUAGAUGAAUAGGUAUCCUGGUGAUGUAUCCAAAAGAGCUAAAAUCCAUUCUGUUUUGGAUUGGCAUCAUUCCAAUUUACGCCGUGGGACAGGUGAUAUGUAGUUUAUUUAUUUAUUUUUAAAAAAUAUAUUUUAACCUAAAUCAUAACAUUUUAAACAACAGAUUUAUCGGACAAUGAUCUUAUCAUAUAUGCUCCUUUUCUACUUUCAGUUGGACUUGUUUUCAACACUAUCUUGGCACCACAAAUUGGCCUCCCUUCAAACCUUCAAACAGCCAAGGAAUCCGAGAAGUUACUCAUGAAAUCGCUGACUAAAUUAGAAAACUUUUGGCUAAAAGAUGGAAGCUUUUUGGUUGGAAGUUCUCAACUAUCAAUAGCAGAUCUUAGUUUAGUAUGUGAAAUCAUGCAACUUGAGGUAAUCAUAUAUUGUAGAGUCAAAAUAUUUCAUCACGUUCAUCUUUUUGGCUAAUUCUUAACUAAAAACAUAAAUUUUUUCAUGUGUUUAGCUUCUGAGUGAGACAGAUUGUAAUCGGAUAUUAAGCCCUUACAAGAAAGUUGUUCAGUGGAUGGCAGAUACAAAGAAGGCAACUGCACCUCAUUUUGAUGAAGUUCAUGAGUUUCUCUUUAAAGCCCAGAAAAGAUUUCGAGAGCAGACAUC
rnacentral:lncRNA from 1 species